UCUUUUUUCUGAUUUGCAGGUUACCCUCACAGUGCACACACUUGAAUUUAAAACCAGAAAAUUAUUUAAAGAAGUGGAUCAACAUUAAAAAGGCUUUCAGCGAUGUAACUUCCCAUUAUCCUCGAGGAAUGAUGGACAUGUUACGAGAAUUGGAGCUCCCACAUAGAGGGCGCCACCACAGCGGGAUAGAUGAUUGUAGGAACAUAGCCGCCAUUGCUGUGGAACUGAUCAAAAGAGGUCAUGUGUUUCAGCAGACAUCUUAUCCUUGACCUCUGAUAGAGCGCCAUCUACUGGAUCAGAGAUCAAAGUGUGAAGAAAU